AUGGAGGCUGCAGAAAUCGGCGGCGCUCUCCUGUUCGCCCUCGCCGCCGCCGCGGCCCUCUUCGCCGCCGUCUCCACCGGCGCCGUCGACUUCAGCCACCCGCCUGCCGUGGGCGGGCGGGUGGACUUCCAGGAGGCCAUCUCGUGGUUCAUCGGCGUCUUCGAUGGCUCCUCCUCCUCCUCGUCGGCGGCGGGGGGCGUGUCGCUGGCGGAGGUGUACGAGCUGUGGGUGCGGGUGCGGGGCCGGGUGAUCGCGCCGGCGCUGCAGGUGGCCGUCUGGGCGUGCAUGGUGAUGUCGGUGAUGCUGGUGGUGGAGGCCCUGUACAACUGCGUGGUCAGCCUCGGCGUCAAGGCCGUCGGCUGGCGCCCCGAGUGGCGGUUCAAGUGGGAGCCCCUCGCCGGCGACGACGAGGAGAAGGGGGGCGCCCACUACCCCAUGGUCCUCGUGCAGAUACCCAUGUACAAUGAGCUGGAGGUGUACAAGCUGUCGAUAGGCGCGGCAUGUGAGCUCCAGUGGCCAAAGGACAGGAUAAUCGUCCAAGUGCUGGACGACUCCACCGAUCCGUUUAUCAAGAACUUGGUGGAGCUUGAAUGUGAAAGCUGGGCGGUCAAGGGUCUGAACAUCAAGUAUGCCACGAGAAGCAGCCGGAAGGGGUUUAAAGCAGGAGCCCUGAAGAAAGGAAUGGAAUGUGACUAUGCCAAGCAGUGCGAAUAUGUUGCCAUAUUUGAUGCUGAUUUCCAGCCUGAACCAGACUUCCUUCUCAGAACAGUGCCGUUCUUCGUGCACAAUCCAGAAGUUGCUCUUGUUCAAGCUCGGUGGUCGUUCGUGAAUGACACCGCGAGCCUGUUGACAAGGGUACAAAAGAUGUUCUUUGAUUACCAUUUCAAAGUUGAGCAAGAAGCAGGAUCAGCAACCUUUUCCUUCUUCAGCUUCAAUGGAACCGCUGGAGUGUGGCGUACAGCAGCCAUCAAAGAGGCAGGAGGUUGGAAGGACCGCACUACAGUUGAAGACAUGGACUUGGCAGUCCGAGCAACCCUAAAGGGUUGGAAAUUUGUAUAUGUCGGGGAUAUCAGAGUUAAGAGUGAAUUGCCAUCUACUUACAAGGCCUACUGUCGACAGCAAUUUCGGUGGUCCUGUGGUGGUGCACAUUUAUUCCGAAAAGUAGCAAAAGAUAUUUUGACUGCUAAGGAUGUAUCUCUCAUCAAGAAGUUCCAUAUGCUCUAUAGCUUCUUCUUGGUUCGGAGAGUCAUGGCCCCUACUGUCGCGUGUAUUCUCUACAAUAUCAUACUUCCGAUCUCAGUUAUGAUCCCAGAACUAUUCCUACCAGUCUGGGGCAUCGCAUAUAUUCCCACAGUACUUUUAGUGGUCACAGCCAUUAGACAUCCAAAAAAUUUGCACAUUCUGCCAUUUUGGAUUUUGUUCGAGAGUGUGAUGACAAUGCAUCGCAUGAGAGCUGCCCUCUCUGGUCUAUUCGAAUUAUCAGAGUUUAACGAGUGGGUCGUGACAAAGAAAACAGGGAACAAUUUUGAAGAUAAUGAAGUUCCCUUGUUACAGAAAACAAGGAAAAGAUUAAGAGACAGGGUUAAUUUUCGCGAGAUUGUAUUUUCGGCGUUUCUUUUCUUCUGUGCAUCGUACAACCUUGUAUUCCCUGGCAAGACUAGCUACUAUUUUAAUCUCUAUCUCCAAGGACUAGCAUUUGUAUGUCUAGGGCUAAACUUCACUGGCACUUGCAGUUGCUGUCAAUGA
rnacentral:rRNA from 1 species